UUAAGCGUGUAGGUGUGUGUUCCAGGUAAAUCCGGUUCACUUUAACACUGAGGCGUGAUGACGAGGCACUACGGUGCUGAAGCAACAAAUGCCCUGCUUCCAGGAAAAGCCUCUAAGCAUCAGGUAACAUCAAAUCGUACCCCAAACCGACACAGGUGGUCAGGUAGAGAAUACCAAGGCGCUUGAGAGAACUCGGGUGAAGGAACUAGGCAAAAUGGUGCCGUAACUUCGGGAGAAGGCACGCUGACACGUAGGUGAAGUGAUUUACUCAUGGAGCUGAAGUCAGUCGAAGAUACCAGCUGGCUGCAACUGUUUAUUAAAAACACAGCACUGUGCAAACACGAAAGUGGACGUAUACGGUGUGACGCCUGCCCGGUGCCGGAAGGUUAAUUGAUGGGGUCAGCGCAAGCGAAGCUCCUGAUCGAAGCCCCGGUAAACGGCGGCCGUAACUAUAACGGUCCUAAGGUAGCGAAAUUCCUUGUCGGGUAAGUUCCGACCUGCACGAAUGGCGUAAUGAUGGCCAGGCUGUCUCCACCCGAGACUCAGUGAAAUUGAACUCGCUGUGAAGAUGCAGUGUACCCGCGGCAAGACGGAAAGACCCCGUGAACCUUUACUAUAGCUUGACACUGAACAUUGAGCCUUGAUGUGUAGGAUAGGUGGGAGGCUUUGAAGUGUGGACGCCAGUCUGCAUGGAGCCGACCUUGAAAUACCACCCUUUAAUGUUUGAUGUUCUAACGUGGACCCGUAAUCCGGGUUGCGGACAGUGUCUGGUGGGUAGUUUGACUGGGGCGGUCUCCUCCUAAAGAGUAACGGAGGAGCACGAAGGUUGGCUAAUCCUGGUCGGACAUCAGGAGGUUAGUGCAAUGGCAUAAGCCAGCUUGACUGCGAGCGUGACGGCGCGAGCAGGUGCGAAAGCAGGUCAUAGUGAUCCGGUGGUUCUGAAUGGAAGGGCCAUCGCUCAACGGAUAAAAGGUACUCCGGGGAUAACAGGCUGAUACCGCCCAAGAGUUCAUAUCGACGGCGGUGUUUGGCACCUCGAUGUCGGCUCAUCACAUCCUGGGGCUGAAGUAGGUCCCAAGGGUAUGGCUGUUCGCCAUUUAAAGUGGUACGCGAGCUGGGUUUAGAACGUCGUGAGACAGUUCGGUCCCUAUCUGCCGUGGGCGCUGGAGAACUGAGGGGGGCUGCUCCUAGUACGAGAGGACCGGAGUGGACGCAUCACUGGUGUUCGGGUUGUCAUGCCAAUGGCACUGCCCGGUAGCUAAAUGCGGAAGAGAUAAGUGCUGAAAGCAUCUAAGCACGAAACUUGCCCCGA
rnacentral:rRNA from 1 species